GUAUGUGAGGGUGAUCCAGCUGUGACAUCUGUGGCUCCAUUGAUCUCUAGGGUUGAUUUUGCUGAUCUGGUUGGCUCAGCAGGUUUUCCUUUCCUCUCACCACUCCAUGUUCCUCCCUCCUGAAACUUGCACUCUGUGGCAGAGGGUGACCUUCCCUGAUAGAGAAGGACUGUUCUGCAGUAAGGGUAUAGAAGUAGCUGUGCUCCUCUGCUAGAACCUCCAAACGAGCUCUCAAGAUGCUGGUGUGGCAGAAUUCUAGUACCAGCUUUAAACUCCAAAGGUAAACUUCACAGGAACUAGGUCUUGUUU
rnacentral:snRNA from 1 species